rnacentral:rRNA from 1 species
GACAGAGGAGGCAAGCGUUGUCCGGACUGACUGGGCGUAAAGCGUCCGCAGGUGGUCGUGCAAGUGCGCUGUGAAAGCGGCCCGCUCAACGGGCCGAGGCCAGCGCAGACUGCGCGACUCGAGGUCGGGAGAGGUCGGUGGAAUUGCCGGUGUAGCGGUGAAAUGCGCAGAUAUCGGGGAGGAACACCAAUGGCGAAGGCAGCUCGCUGGGACGGUACUGACGCUGAGACGGCGAAAGCGUGGGGAGCAAACAGGG